CCGCCUUUGGCACACAUGCCAUAGGUUGCCCACCUCUGGUCUGGAGUAUGGGAAGGAUGUAAAGUAGAGCAGGCAGGAGGUGAGAAAGGACAGGGCCUCAAAACUCUACUGAAGAGUAUGUCAGGAAAAGAAAGAAAUGGGACAUCAGGGCCUAAAUCAUAAAGCUUGAGGGAGUUAAGAACAAUUUGAGGCAUUCUGGUGCCUUGAGGGGAAAGUGGGUGUGAGGCAGGACAGGAGCCUUACAUUCCCUCAGGGGAAUGUGUGGCAGAUGGCUCUUGAGCAUCAAAACCCCUGUCCUACACAAAGGUGUGAGAAGGAAGCAUCUAGGACAUCACGUUUCCUCCUGGGGAGCAUGUGGGACGGCGGGUGUUGAGACGAGGAAAGCGCCACACUGGAAGGGAAGCUCAGGCAGCGGAAGCUGCUGGGUUGUGCCUGCAAUCGGUGCGUUGCCCCUUUAAUUGUGUCCCCAGCCCUCGGGCGUCUCUGUCCAACGCCCACGUCAGCAAAUACCUUUUGUUUCUCUCACGUUCGGGCUUCCAUGGUUUGGGGCGGCGGGACCCGCAAAUUGCAUUAAAGCGGCAAAGAGCCCCAGCCCAGGGGUUUGGGGAUCCCGCACCCACCUCCCGCUCUCCCCGGCUCAGCAGCUGCAGCCCGCGGAACCCAGCCGAGCAACGCUUCCUGUUACCCUUUUUUGGAAUGGAGAUAUCUUCCCAUCAGUUUCAUCUCCUGCAGCAACUGAAUGAGCAGCGCAAGCAAGACUUAUUCUGUGACUGCUGUAUCCUGGUUGAGGGGAAAGUCUUCAAAGCACAUCGAAAUGUGCUGUUUGCCAGUAGUGGUUAUUUCAAAAUGCUCCUUUCCCAGAGCUCAAAGGAGACAAAUCAGCCAACCACUGCUUCCUUCCAGGCAUUUUCUCCUGACACAUUUACAGUUAUUCUGGAUUUUGUGUAUUCUGGCAAACUCUCUCUCACUGGCCAGAAUGUCAUUGAGGUCAUGUCAGCUGCUAGUUAUCUUCAGAUGACUGAUGUUAUUAGUGUUUGUAAGACCUUCAUUAAGUCAUCACUGGACAUCAGUGAGAAGGAGAAGGAUAGAUAUUUCAGCCUGUCAGACAAAGAUGUAAAUUCCAAUGGUGUGGAACGCUCAUGCUUGUAUGGUGCUGAUUGGAGAACAGAGAACAGUCCCCCGCAUUCUCACUUAAAUCCUGAUCAAGGGACUUGUGUGAUGAGUGGAAAUGCUUGGAGCAAUUUCAGCUACUAUCCAACUUCUCAAAGAAAUGCGCAGCAGCUGGCCAAACAUGACCAAAGGCAGGAUUCCAUUAAAAAAACUAGACAUUUAGGAUUGCAACAAUCUGUUGAUAUUCCCCAUUAUAAAUCAAGCAAGCUUGAAGACCGAUCCUCAGACCCCACUAGCCAUGUUUCUCAAUCUGAGGAGGAAGUCCAAAUUGACACAGAAAUUGACUCUGCCCAUGCUGGGUAUCAGUAUGGUCAGGGGUCUGACGUGAUGCCAAGGAGCUUGGGUGUGGCACAGCAAGACCAUGAAUCACCCCAUUCUUCUAGCAAGUCAAAGUCCUCAAAAGCAGAUGAGCAAUAUGGCAACAUGCCCUCAAUUUUAGGUGUAAUGGGAAGCUGGGCUGAAGAUGAUCUGCCCAGGAUGAGAUUCAAGUGCCCAUUCUGCACUCAUGUGGUGAAGCGAAAAGCAGACCUAAAGCGCCACCUUCGUUGCCAUACAGGAGAACGACCUUAUCCAUGUGAGGCAUGUGGGAAAAGAUUUAGCAGGCUAGACCACCUAAGUAGCCAUUUUCGAACACUCAGGAAUCAGGUAAAAGUGGUGGUACUGGGGAGAUAAGCUGUAAUGCCUGAAAAGGGAUGCAUGUCAACAGAGAAGUAGAAAAGGGAUCUGGCAGGGUAAUUGGAGGACCUAGAGCAACUGCAGCUGCGCCACUGGCUGAGAGGAGGAGCUGCAUGUGGUAACAGAUUCAUCAGGCCUGUAAGCCAAUCUGCAGAAAGUGUAAGCGCCAUGUGACUGAGCUGACGGGACAAGUGGUGCAAGAGGGGA